rnacentral:rRNA from 1 species
GACGAACGCUGGCGGCGUGCCUAAUACAUGCAAGUUGAGCGCUGAAGGUUGGUACUUGUACCAACUGGAUGAGCAGCGAACGGGUGAGUAACGCGUGGGGAAUCUGCCUUUGAGCGGGGGACAACAUUUGGAAACGAAUGCUAAUACCGCAUAAAAACUUUAAACACAAGUUUUAAGUUUGAAAGAUGCAAUUGCAUCACUCAAAGAUGAUCCCGCGUUGUAUUAGCUAGUUGGUGAGGUAAAGGCUCACCAAGGCGAUGAUACAUAGCCGACCUGAGAGGGUGAUCUGCCACAUUGGGACUGAGACACGGCCCAAACUCCUACGGGAGGCAGCAGUAGGGAAUCUUCGGCAAUGGACGAAAGUCUGACCGAGCAACGCCGCGUGAGUGAAGAAGGUUUUCGGAUCGUAAAACUCUGUUGGUACAGAAGAACGUUGGUGAGAGUGGAAAGCUCAUCAAGUGACGGUAACUACCCAGAAAGGGACGGCUAACUACGUG